UACGGAGGGUGCGAGCGUUGUCCGGAAUCACUGGGCGUAAAGGGCGCGUAGGCGGCCGGCCAAGUCGGGGGUGAAAGCCUGUGGCUCAACCACAGAAUGGCCCCUCGAUACUGGACGGCUCGAGACCGGAAGAGGUUGGUGGAAUUGCGAGUGUAGAGGUGAAAUUCGUAGAUAUUCGCAAGAACACCGAUGGCGAAGGCAGCCUUCUGGGCCAACACUGACGCUCAUGCACGAAAGCGUGGGGAGCAAACAGG
rnacentral:rRNA from 1 species